UCACUGCUUGCGCAGGCAGUCUCUUUAGAGUCCCCACCAUAAUGUGCUGGCGACUAAAGAUAGGGGUUGCGCUCGUUGCGGGACUUAACCCAACACCUCACGGCACGAGCUGACGACGGCCAUGCAGCACCUUGCUUUGUGCCCCGAAGGGAAGCCCCAUCUCUGGGGCGGUCACGCGCAUUCUAGCCUAGGUAAGGUUCCUCGCGUAUCAUCGAAUUAAGCAACAUGCUCCGCCGCUUGUGCGGGCCCCCGUCAAUUCCUUUGAGUUUCAACCUUGCGGCCGUAGUUCCCAGGCGGUUCACUUAAUGCGUUAGCUGCGACACCGAGGCGAAGCCCCGACGUCUAGCACUCAUCGUUUACGGCGUGGACUA
rnacentral:misc_RNA from 1 species